rnacentral:rRNA from 1 species
UACAGAGGUCUCAAGCGUUGUUCGGAUUUAUUGGGCGUAAAGAGCUCGUAGGCGGUUCGAUAAGUCGGAUGUGAAAUCUCCACGCUCAACGUGGAGGGGCCAUUCGAUACUGGCGUGACUCGAGUCCGGUAGGGGAGUGUGGAAUUCCCGGUGUAGCGGUGAAAUGCGCAGAGAUCGGGAGGAACACCCGUAGCGAAGGCGGCACUCUGGGCCGGUACUGACGCUGAGGAGCGAAAGCGUGGGGAGCAAACAGG